CGAUGCGCAUAGUGUUAAUGGAACGUAGCAGACGUACAGAGGUCCAUUAGUUCACAAUGAGUUUGUGGAAUUUUUAUACUAAUGCAUGUAUCUAUUGCGUGUAUAUUCCUAAUUGGUAAUUGACACAUGCGACCUUAAUGCGACUCGCAGCUGUUAGUGUUUCAAUAAAGCUUGUUAACUUCCUAAACGUUGCACUUUCUGAACACAGCAUCGGCGCAAACUGCUCGUUUCUCUAUGUUUUCCUUCGAUAAAUAAGCGAAUUAAUUUUGCUACACUAUUCACAUUUUUUCGAUAGAAACAUUUGUGAGACAUUUAUUUAUCAUAAUUACAUGUUUACUAAUGUAUUUAGCAGCAAUUAUGGAAUAUCAAAUGUUCGAAUUUGGCGCCGUUUGCAUUAGUAUCACCUGAUGAGUCACAGAUGUCAGAGUCAUACGGAAAUCAAUUUCAAUUCGAGAAAGUGAACUGUGUACCAUGUUACCGGGUAAUAUAAAUAGUCAGGGAUCAGUAAAUCAUGGGAGAACAAAGCGAAAGGCACUAAAGGAUUUAAUGAAACACCAUUCCAGGAAUACGAACAAUAAUUACGUAUCACGGAUAUAGGCUUGCGUAAACACUACACCUUAUUGUUCAUACGAUCGAAAUAUUAAAAAAAAAGCUAGA